rnacentral:rRNA from 4 species
GCUCUCUGUUUACAUAAAUAUAGGGAGUCGAGCCUGCCCAGUGAAUUUUUAAACGGCCGCGGUACUCUGACCGUGCAAAGGUAGCAUAAUCAUUUGCCUUAUAAUUGAAGGCUAGUAUGAAUGGUUUGACGAGAGCAACACUGUCUCCUUUUUAUUUUCAAGAACUUAACUUUUAGGUGAAGAGGCCUAAAUUUUAUUGAAGGACAAGAAGACCCUAUCGAGCUUAAAAGACAUUAUAGAAGUUUAUAUAUUUCUAAAUAAAUUUUCUAUUGAGCUUUUUAGUUGGGGCGACUAAGGAACAAAAAAAGCUUCUUGCUAAUAAUAGACAGUCAUGUUUAGAUCCGAUAAUAAUCGAUCAAAGAAAUUAGUUACCGUAGGGAUAACAGCAUAAUCUCUCUUGAGAGACCUAAUCGAAAGAGGGGGUUGUGACCUCGAUGUUGGACUAGAAUAUCCUAAAGAUGCAGAAGUCUUUGAAAGGUCGGUCUGUUCGACCGUUAAAAUUCU